rfam:Parcubacteria bacterium GW2011_GWA2_42_28 TV19_C0001, whole genome shotgun sequence.
GCCUUCGUAGUUCAACGGAUAGAACGUGAGCUUCCGGAGCUCAAGAUAGAGGUUCGAUUCCUCUCGGAGGCA